AUACGUAGGGGGCGAGCGUUGUCCGGAAUGAUUGGGCGUAAAGGGCGCGUAGGCGGCGCGGCAAGUCUGGAGUGAACGUCCUGCUUUCAAGGUGGGAAUUGCUUUGGAUACUGCCGCGCUUGAGUGCAGGAGAGGCUAUCGGAAUUCCCGGUGUAGCGGUGAAAUGCGUAGAGAUCGGGAGGAACACCAGUGGCGAAGGCGGGUAACUGGACUGCAACUGACGCUGAGGCGCGAAAGUGUGGGGAGCAAACAGGCUUAGAUACCCUGGUAGUCCACACUGUAAACGAUGAAUGCUAGGUGUAAGAGGUAUCGACCCCUUUUGUGCCGGAGUCAACACAAUAAGCAUUCCGCCUGGGGAGUACGGCCGCAAGGUUGAAACUCAAAUGAAUUGGCGGGG
rnacentral:rRNA from 1 species